UCUUAUAACGUGACUCCACGCCUCGUCAGAGCAAUCUGUGGGACACUUAAGGAAUUCCUCCGCAAAAUGUUGAGAAUGUGUUUCGAAGAUUUCUACCCACGAUAAAAAUGUUUAUUGGGUACCAGUGAGUAGCGACGGGUACGCUGUUUCUAAGGAGCUCACGGAGAGCUAACACUCUUAACCCUUUCGCUGCGAUGCACGCGCAAGUGAGAGCGCUCAUAUUAUGCAGCAGGGGAAUGACGAUGUACGAGCGAAUACAGAAUUUUUGUAUAUUUUCCGAUAUUCGAAUGUUUAGGAGAGGACAUCCGGUCGUGUACUCGGAAGAAACGUACUUAUCUGGACAUCUUUGAAAACAAAGUGACAAACAUGUUAUAAUUAAACUCGUUGUUUACAGCGAAACCUGAAAGGACAUUGGUUAAGAUCGAAAUAAAUGGUGUCCAUGAUAGAAGAUGGAAGAGAGACGUUAACGCAAUGAGGGUAGUAUUCGCCGUAGUUUUAUUCCGAUGUUGGGCUCACGUUCAAUCGCGGGGAUUGUGGGACGAGGUGGAAUAAGGGCAGGUGAUGUGAACUUAGACCUUGUUCUACCAAUUGCUGAAGAAAAAACAUAAAAAUGUGGUGAUCGUUUACCAAUUCGGUGUACAUUCUUGGAUAUAUAUACGUGCAUAAUUUAAUCUGUUCGAUCAGAUAUUCGCGAUAAUUUCAGAUGAAAAGAUAUCUGUUUUCUGUUUACUUUCGGCACAUUUGUUUUCGAUUAAAUUAUUUCUCUCUGAGGUUUUUUCGUUUAUUUUUUUCAUUUGUUCUUUUGAUGAAUCGUUCGACACUUUUUUAUUUAAACAGUUCUUUCCAUUCCAUGCACAAAUAUGUGUAAUCCUUGAAAAUGAAUACGAUUAGUAAAACAAGCUUUACCGUCUUAAAGUUGCUCCUUGGAAAUUUGACGCGUGUACGCGAACAAGU